rnacentral:rRNA from 1 species
UACGAAGGUCCCGAGCGUUGUUCGGAAUCACUGGGCGUAAAGGGAGCGUAGGCGGCGCGGUAAGUCAGAUGUGAAAUCCCGGGGCUCAACCCCGGAACUGCAUCCGAUACUGCCGUGCUAGAGGAUUGGAGAGGUAGCUGGAAUUCUUGGUGUAGCAGUGAAAUGCGUAGAUAUCAAGAGGAACACUCGUGGCGAAAGCGAGCUACUGGACAACUCCUGACGCUGAGGCUCGAAGGCCAGGGUAGCGAAAGGG